GACGAACGCUGGCGGCGUGCUUAACACAUGCAAGUCGAACGGAAAGGACCCAACUUGCUGGGGCACUCAAGAGGCGAACGGGUGAGUAACACGUGGGUGAUCUGCCCUGCACUCUGGGAUAAGCCUGGGAAACUGGAUCUAAUACCGGAUAGGACCGUGCUUUAUGGUGUGCGGUGGAAAGUUUUUCGGUGCAGGAUGAGCCCGCGACCUAUCAGCUUGUUGGUGGGGUAAUGGCCUACCAAGGCGGCGACGGGUAACCAGCCUGAGAGGGAUGUACAGACACAUUGGGACUGACACACGGCCCAGACUCCUACGGGAGGCAUCAGUGAGGAAUAUUGCACAAUGCGCGCAAGCCGUGAUGCAACCACGCCGCAUGGGGGAUGACGGCCUUCAGAUUGUAAACCCCUUUCGGCACGCACUAAUCUUUUGUGACGGUACCUGCAUAAGAAGCACCGGCUAACUACGUGCCUCCAACCGCAGUAAUACGUAUGGUGCGAGCGUUGUCCCGAAUUACUGCGCGUAAACAGCUCGUAGGUGGUUUGUCUCGUCGUCUGUGAAAUCCCGGGGCUUAACUCCGGGCGUGCAGGCGAUACGGGCAUAACUUGAGUGCUGUAGGGGAGACUGGAAUUCCUGGUGUAGCGGUGAAAUGCGCAGAUAUCAGGAGGAACACCGAUGGCGAAGGCAUGUCUCUGGGCAGUAACUGACGCUGAGGAGCGAAAGCAUGGGUAGCGAACAAGAUUAGAUACCCUGGUAGUCCAUGCCGUAAACGGUGGGCGCUAGGUGUGGGGAUCUUCCACGAUUUCCGUGCCGUAUCUAACGCAUUAAGCGCCCCGCCUGGGGAGUACGGCCGCAAGGCUAAAACUCAAAGGAAUUGACGGGGGCCCGCACAAGCGGCGGAGCAUGUGGAUUAAUUUGAUGCAACGCGAAGAACCUUACCUGGGCUUGACAUGGGCAGGACCGGCGUGGAGACACGUCUUCCCUUUUGGGCUUGUUCACAGCGUGGUGCAUGGUUGUUGUCAGCUCGUGUCGUGAGAUGUUGGGUUAAGUCCCGCAACGAGCGCAACCCUUGUCUUGUGUUGCCAGCACGUAAUGGUGGGGCCUCGCGAGAGACUGCCGGGGUUAACUCGGAGGAAGGUGGGGAUGACGUCAAAUCAUCAUGCCCCUUAUGUCCAGGGCUUCACACAUGCUACAAUGGUCGGUACAGUGGGUUGCGAUGCCACGAGGCUCAGCUAAUCCUUUAAAACCCGUUUCAGUUUGGAUUGGAGUGUGCAACUUGACUCCAUGAAGUUGGAGUCGCUAGUAAUCGCAGAUCAGCAACGCUGCGGUGAAUACGUUCCCGGGCCU
rnacentral:rRNA from 1 species